GACCAAAGGUGGCCUCUACAUGUAAGCUAUCGCGUURGGAUGGGCCCAGUUAGGAUUAGCUAGUUGGUAAGGUAACGGCUUACCAAGGCGACGAUCCUUAGCUGGUUUGAGAGGAUGAUCAGCCACACUGGGACUGAGACACGGCCCAGACUCCUACGGGAGGCAGCAGUGGGGAAUAUUGCACAAUGGGGGAGACCCUGAUGCAGCCAUGCCGCGUGUGUGAAGAAGGCCUUCGGGUUGUAAAGCACUUUCAGCAGUGAGGAAGGUAGUGUACUUAAUACGUGC
rnacentral:rRNA from 1 species